rnacentral:rRNA from 11 species
AGUGGCCCAGAAAUCUUGAAGACACCAGAUCCCAUCUGAUCUUGGAAGCAAAGAAGGAAGAGAUCUGGGUUAGUGCUUGGAUGUGAGGCCACCAAGGAUAGCCAAAGACUUGGCUGUAU